rnacentral:rRNA from 1 species
AUGCUUGUAAUCUUCAAUCAAUAUCAUUUGAACAAGUAUAUUGCUAGCCCUUGUGCACCUCAUAUUGAUCCUUUGGAUCCUACCCUAGAUGAAGAUAUUGACAUGAUUCGCAAUCUUAGAACUAUUGAGCUCAUCAUUAGAGGAUUGCCCAAAAAUUUGAUUGCUAGUUUGCCUACUCUUAAUUGUGCCUAUACUAUAUGGAAAUUUCUUGAGGAACGAUUUCCCGAUCAUUCCUUGAAAACUUUGGAUGAAAUUCUCCAUAAAUCUAUUGCCUUGAGUAAGAUGAACUCUAGUGAUCCUAGUUUUGGUAAUUGUCUAUUUGAACUUACCGAUCUUAAGCAUGCUAAAGGAGAUGUUGGAAUCAUUAGUGAUAUCAUAUUCGAAGCUAUAAGAAUUCAUAGAAGUGACCACCUUGAUGAUCAUUUAUCUAAUGAAUUACCCUCUCUAGGAAAUGAUGAGUCACAAGAUCAUGAUGAACAUGGAUACUAUGAUGAUGAUGAUGAUGAUGAUGAUGAUAGUGACUUCGAUCUUGAUGAUGCAAUGAGACAUUUUGGUCUUAUGGCAAAUCUUCGGGGAUAUGAAUCAGGAGGAAAGGAAUGGGUUCUUGAUAGUGGAUGUACUGACCAUAUGACUGGAGAUGAAGAGAUGUUCCGUGAGCUUGCUGAAAAUGACGGCCCUUGA